CCUGCCCCUAGAGGUAUUGUAGAUGUGGCUGCUGUGUCAUAUUGCGUCAGUAGGUGGCAGAGUAGAGAAAGACUAUGUCUGCACUCUGUUCUGACCUGUGGACAUAUGAAUGAUUAGUAGCCUAACAUC